rnacentral:rRNA from 1 species
AUUGAACGCUGGCGGCAGGCCUAACACAUGCAAGUCGAACGGUAACAGGAAGCAGCUUGCUGCUUCGCUGACGAGUGGCGGACGGGUGAGUAAUGUCUGGGAAACUGCCUGAUGGAGGGGGAUAACUACUGGAAACGGUAGCUAAUACCGCAUAACGUCGCAAGACCAAAGAGGGGGACCUUAGGGCCUCUUGCCAUCGGAUGUGCCCAGAUGGGAUUAGCUAGUAGGUGGGGUAACGGCUCACCUAGGCGACGAUCCCUAGCUGGUCUGGGAGGAUGACCAGCCACACUGGAACUGAGACACGGUCCAGACUCCUACGGGAGGCAGCAGUGGGGAAUAUUGCACAAUGGGCGCAAGCCUGAUGCAGCCAUGCCGCGUGUAUGAAGAAGGCCUUCGGGUUGUAAAGUACUUUCAGCGGGGAGGAAGGGAGUAAAGUUAAUACCUUUGCUCAUUGACGUUACCCGCAGAAGAAGCACCGGCUAACUCCGUG